rnacentral:rRNA from 1 species
UGGGGAAUAUUGCACAAUGGGCGCAAGCCUGAUGCAGCGACGCCGCGUGAGGGAUGAAGGCCUUCGGGUUGUAAACCUCUUUCAGCAGGGAAGAAGCGCAAGUGACGGUACCUGCAGAAGAAGCGCCGGCUAACUACGUGCCAGCAGCCGCGGUAAUACGUAGGGCGCAAGCGUUGUCCGGAAUUAUUGGGCGUAAAGAGCUCGUAGGCGGUUUGUCGCGUCUGCUGUGAAAACUCGAGGCUCAACCUCGGGCUUGCAGUGGGUACGGGCAGACUAGAGUGCGGUAGGGGAGACUGGAAUUCCUGGUGUAGCGGUGGAAUGCGCAGAUAUCAGGAGGAACACCGAUGGCGAAGGCAGGUCUCUGGGCCGCAACUGACGCUGAGGAGCGAAAGCAUGGGGAGCGAACAGGAUUAGAUACCCUGGUAGUCCAUGCCGUAAACGUUGGACACUAGGUGUGGGGCUCAUUCCACGAGUUCCGUGCCGCAGCAAACGCAUUAAGUGCCCCGCCUGGGGAGUACGGCCGCAAGGCUAAAACUCAAAGAAAUUGACGGGGGCCCGCACAGGCGGCGGAGCAUGCGGAUUAAUUCGAUGCAACGCGAAGAACCUUACCAGGGCUUGACAUACACCGGAAACUUCCAGAGAUGGUUGCCCCGCAAGGUCGGUGUACAGGUGGUGCAUGGUUGUCGUCAGCUCGUGUCGUGAGAUGUUGGGUUAAGUCCCGCAACGAGCGCAACCCUCGUCCUAUGUUGCCAGCGGGUCAUGCCGGGGACUCAUAGGAGACUGCCGGGGUCAACUCGGAGGAAGG